ACAUCCAGAGAACUUAGCAGAGAUGCUUUGGUGCCUUCGGGAACUCUGAGACAGGUGCUGCAUGGCUGUCGUCAGCUCGUGUUGUGAAAUGUUGGGUUAAGUCCCGNAACGAGCGCAACCCUUUAUCCUUUGUUGCCAGCGGUUCGGCCGGGAACUCAAAGGAGACUGCCGGUGAUAAACCGGAGGAAGGUGGGGAUGACGUCAAGUCAUCAUGGCCCUUACGGCCAGGGCUACACACGUGCUACAAUGGCGCAUACAAAGAGAAGCGACCUCGCGAGAGCAAGCGGACCUCAUAAAGUGCGUCGUAGUCCGGAUUGGAGUCUGCAACUCGACUCCAUGAAGUCGGAAUCGCUAGUAAUCGUAGAUCAGAAUGCUACGGUGAGUACGUUCCCGGGCCUUGUACACACCGCCCGUCACACCAUGGGAGUGGGUUGCAAAAGAAGUAGGUAGCUUAACCUUCGGGAGGGCGCUUACCACUUUGUGAUUCAUGACUGGGGUGAAGUCGUAACAAGGUAAGCGUAGCGAG
rnacentral:rRNA from 1 species